rnacentral:misc_RNA from 1 species
GAUGAAGAACGUAGCGAAAUGCGAUACUUGGUGUGAAUUGCAGAAUCCCGUGAACCAUCGAGUCUUUGAACGCAAGUUGCGCCUCAAGCCAUUAGGUUGAGGGCACGUCUGCCUGGGCGUCACAUAUCGUUGCCUGAUGCCAGUUUCCUCGUGAUGGGUGACUGUGCAGGGCGAAUGAUGGCUUCCCGUGAGCAUUGUUGCCUCAUGGUUGGUUGAAAAUUGAGUCCUUGGUAGGGAGCGCCGUGAUAGAUGGUGGUUGAGUGACGAACGAGACCCAAUCAUGUGAGACCCCUACCGAAUUUGGCCUUCAUGACCCACAUGCGUCUUUGGAACGCUCAUGACGAGACCUCAGGUCAGGCGGGGCUACUCGCUGAGUUUAAGCAUAUCAAUAAGCGGAGGA